rnacentral:tRNA from 1 species
GCCUGACUGGCUCAGUCGGUAGAGAGUGCCAUUCUUGAUAUUGGGGUUGUGAGUUCAAGCCCCAUGUUGGGUA